rnacentral:lncRNA from 1 species
CGAAGCCCGGAGCGGUACCCACUGGGCGGCCCCUCUGCUGCCCCCUGGUCGUGAUCUCUCCGUGCCCAGCUCCACGCGGCCCCACUGCUCACCCGCUCAGCGCUCCGAUGUCACAGCCAUUGCAACACCGCGACCGGAGCGCCGUCCUUUGCUCCGGGUGGGGAACGCGCGCUACGCGGAACCAUCGUUCCUCACCUCCAGUUCCCCCCUAACAAUCAGCGUUCGUCCCCUGCCCCCACGAAGCGCCCACAUCGAAAGGAACCCUCGGGAACACCCAGGGAGCCGCAAGCCGAGCUCAGCCCCUCCAGCGCGCUAUCCCGGCAGGAGUUGGGGGGGAUGAUGUGUGGCGGUGCUGGUUUCCACACGGCGCCAUUUUACAGAGGGGCUGUCGCAGCGGAGCGACUUCCGGCGCCUCUCAGAUCAUCAUUUGGAGGAUUCCAGCACGAGAUUUCUGAAGUCUGCUGUAUCCAGCCAUAAUGAGUUCCUCACUGGUUGCUUAUGAUGAUUCAGAGCCUGAGGCAGAAACUGAAAAAGCUGACGAUCUCGGUACUAGCAGACAAGCAAGCCUUCCGAGUUCUUCUGCAAAUCCUGUUCAGCACUUUGCACCUGGUAUUUUGAGUACAAAAUCUACAUAUGAAACACAGCUUACUGAGAACACUGACAAUUUUGGCAUGAGCGUUGUUUGUGAAGAUCCCUCUGAGCAUUAUGCAGGGAAUAACAACAGUGAUUUGACAUCUUAUUGUAGGAGAGUGUACUCUAGUCCUACUGCAUUACGUGUGCCCUACAAAAACUAUGAACAGACAUUGAGCUCUUCAAGAAACUCUGGAAAUGGUGCUUCCCAGAAGAGAACACAUAAAGAUAGCUCAAC